rnacentral:lncRNA from 1 species
AAAAAUCAAGAGAGAGUUUUCAGAAACAAGGGAAGGUUUCGACUGGGAAAACAAAGAAGGAAAAGUGGGAGAGGAAAGAAUGAGAGAAACUGGGAAAAAAAAAAAAAAAAGCAUGGGAAAGGGAAGAAGGAAGCUCGGGCAAUAGGGGGAAGAAAUGAGGAAAACUAGAAAGGAAGCUUCGGAGGAAAAACCAGGAGCUUGGGGAAAUUUAGGAAGGAAAAAGAAAACAACAGAAAGAGAGCAAAGAAAGGGAGAGUUACGGGCAAGAGAAAAAAAACAGCAAAGAAAAGAGAAAGAAAGAAACAGAAGGGUUUCGGGCAGGGGUAAAGAGAGAAAAGAAAGAAGAGUAAGGGAGGAGGAAGAGACAGUGGAGAGUAGGAGAAACAAAUGAAAAUCCAAGGAGAGGCUUCAAGUUGACAGGGAAGAAAUAAGAAACAAAAGAAAGGCAAGGAAAAAAAACAAAAAAGAGGGUUUUCUGGGAUAGGGGAGGAAGAGAGGAACGGGAGAAAGAAUAGGAGGAUGAGAGGAAGAAGAGAAAGAGAAAAAGAAGGGAAAAGGAAGGAAAGCAAGCAAGGAAAAGAAAAAAGGAAGGGGACGGGCUGAACAGAAAAAAAACAAGGAAGGAAAAAAAGAGAGAUUGAGGGAGGCUACGGAUAGAGGGGAAGGAAGAAAAGAAAAGAAAGGAAGAGCGAAAGAAAGAGGAAAGAAACAAAAGGAACAAAGGAAAAGAGGAUCUGGGGAGAGUCAGAGGAAGAGUAGGAGGGCAGCGGAGCAAGAAAGGAAACAAAGGAAAAGAGAGAAAACCGAGGGAAAAAGGAAAUUUUUCUGGGAUCAGGUUAGCGAGGUAGCCCAAUUUCCGAUCAAAUUCCGACCUAACCUCCAACCCUUAGAGCACGAUUCCUUUUCUGAACCUUCUUUGGACGUCAUGCAACAACUUUUGUUCAGUGAUUACUCCUUAAAAACACCUCCAACGUGGCCGUAUUUGAGCUCCAAGUUGCGGUUUUUCCAGUGCUGGGCAUCUCUAUAGCAGAAUUCUCUUCAUCCGUUUGCGUUUGUACGUCUCGCCUUGGAGUUCUCGUGAUUGUUCAACCUUAUAAGCGACAAAGGCUAAAGGUAGUCUUUCUAUCUUUUCUAGAUUAUGGGGUUUACAGCAAAGGCAUUAAAACCGUUGUUGCUAUGCUUGUUGCCGCGUUCUUCUGUUUUCCUUCCUCCUUGUAUUUUCUAUUCACGAACCUGGGUGGGAGUUCUGAGCCAUGAAACUGGUGUUUUUUCUGUGUUGUUGGCUUUUGGUGCAAAAAGGGGAGAACAAUGGGUGUAAAUAAUUUGACUAGAACCAUGUUUCUUAUGGCUAAGCAUCUCUGUUUCUUCUUUGUUUUUUUUUCUUUCUUCCUUUAUCAUUUUGGUUCCAAAAUCUGUUAAUCGAUCUGAUGUUUGGUUUUCUUUAUGAGGGUGAGAAUGAUUUUGACAUGGGUUUUAGUACUCUUAAAAUAAAUGUUUUGGUUCCUUUCCGUUUAUGAUAUGACGACCCUGGAUGACCUGCUAUGGGAAUUCAAGAAACCAGCGAAGAAGAAGAUGAAUUCUUCGAAUCAGUUGCAUGAAAUUUCAGACAAAUUGCAUUCUAACCCCUCAGGUUUCCCCUUGUUCCACUAUGGCCCAGAAAAUCGAAAAAUUAAAUCAAUUUUGCCCCUUUAAAAUGCUAUUUUCCUUUGGCAUGUCUUAAUGUGAUUUUUGGAUAGAUUUUUAGUGAAUUUUGGGGAUGAAUUUGGAGGUUUAAUAAUUUUUGAUAGAUUUAUAGUUUUGAUUUGGAU